UACGGAGGGGGCUAGCGUUGUUCGGAAUUACUGGGCGUAAAGCGCGCGUAGGCGGCUUUGUAAGUUAGAGGUGAAAGCCCGGGGCUCAACCCCGGAACUGCCUUUAAGACUGCAUCGCUUGAAUCCGGGAGAGGUGAGUGGAAUUCCGAGUGUAGAGGUGAAAUUCGUAGAUAUUCGGAAGAACACCAGUGGCGAAGGCGGCUCACUGGACCGGCAUUGACGCUGAGGUGCGAAAGCGUGGGGAGCAAACAGGAUUAGAUACCGUGUAGU
rnacentral:rRNA from 1 species